AUUGGACCCGGCAUCGCCGGGUGGCUCGGCCCGGCGCCUAUCCCCGGGAUAACC
rnacentral:ncRNA from 1 species